GACGAACGCUGGCGGCGUGCUUAACACAUGCAAGUCGAACGGAAAGGCCCUGCUUGCAGGGUACUCGAGUGGCGAACGGGUGAGUAACACGUGGGUGAUCUGCCCUGCACUUCGGGAUAAGCCUGGGAAACUGGGUCUAAUACCGGAUAGGAGCCAUUUUUAGUGUGAUGGUUGGAAAGUUUUUUCGGUGUAGGAUGAGCUCGCGGCCUAUCAGCUUGUUGGUGGGGUAAUGGCCUACCAAGGCGGCGACGGGUAGCCGGCCUGAGAGGGUGGACGGCCACAUUGGGACUGAGAUACGGCCCAGACUCCUACGGGAGGCAGCAGUGGGGAAUAUUGCACAAUGGGCGCAAGCCUGAUGCAGCGACGCCGCGUGGGGGAUGACGGCCUUCGGGUGGUAAACUCCUUUCGCUAGGGACGAAGCUUUUGUGACGGUACCGAGAUAAGAAGCACCGGCUAACUACGG
rnacentral:rRNA from 1 species